rnacentral:tRNA from 1 species
AUUAUUAUAGUUUAAUUAAAACAUUAAAUUGCAAAUUUAAAGAUUAAUUUAAUAUUAUAAUAAUU